GAUGAACGCUAGCUACAGGCUUAACACAUGCAAGUCGAGGGACCGGCGCACGGGUGAGUAACACGUAUCCAACCUGCCCUUUACUCGGGGAUAGCCUUUCGAACGAAAGAUUAAUACCCGAUAUAAAGGAUGGGGAUGCGUUCCAUUAGGUUGUUGGUGAGGUAACGGCCCACCAAGCCUUCGAUGGAUAGGGGUUCUGAGAGGAAGGCACCCCGCAGGGGAAUGGAGACACGGACCAAACGCCGAGGGGAGGCAGAGGUUAGGAAUAUUGGUCAAUGGGCGUUAGCUUGAACAAGCCAAGUAGGUGAAAGAUGGAGGAUAAGGGGUCGUAAACUUCUUUUAUAUAAGAAUAUGUAUUAUAUUAAUAAGGACCGGCUAACUCCGGGCCAGCAGCCGCGGUAAUAC
rnacentral:rRNA from 1 species